CGGCGGACGGGUGAGUAACGCGUGGGUAACCUGCCUCAUACAGGGGGAUAACAGUUGGAAACGGCUGCUAAUACCGCAUAAGCGCACAGUACCGCAUGGUGCCGUGUGAAAAACUCCGGUGGUAUGAGAUGGACCCGCGUCUGAUUAGGUAGUUGGUGGGGUAACGGCCUACCAAGCCGACGAUCAGUAGCCGACCUGAGAGGGUGACCGGCCACAUUGGGACUGAGACAUGGCCCAA
rnacentral:rRNA from 1 species